GAUGAACGCUGGCGGCGUGCCUAAUACAUGCAAGUCGAGCGAACGGGCGAGAAGCUUGCUUCUCUGAUGUUAGCGGCGGACGGGUGAGUAACACGUGGAUAACCUACCUAUAAGACUGGGAUAACUUCGGGAAACCGGAGCUAAUACCGGAUGAUAUUUUGAACCGCAUGGUUCAAAAGUGAAAGACGGUCUUGCUGUCACUUAUAGAUGGAUCCGCGCUGCAUUAGCUAGUUGGUAAGGUAACGGCUUACCAAGGCAACGAUGCAUAGCCGACCUGAGAGGGUGAUCGGCCACACUGGAACUGAGACACGGUCCAGACUCCUACGGGAGGCAGCAGUAGGGAAUCUUCCGCAAUGGGCGAAAGCCUGACGGAGCAACGCCGCGUGAGUGAUGAAGGUCUUCGGAUCGUAAAACUCUGUUAUUAGGGAAGAACAUAUGUGUAAGUAACUGUGCACAUCUUGACGGUACCUAAUCAGAAGGCCACGGCUAACUACGUG
rnacentral:rRNA from 1 species